GAUGAACGCUGGCGGCGUGCCUAAUACAUGCAAGUCGAGCGAACAGACGAGGAGCUUGCUCCUCUGACGUUAGCGGCGGACGGGUGAGUAACAUGUGGAUAACCUACCUAUAAGACUGGGAUAACUUCGGGAGACCGGAGCUAAUACCGGAUAAUAUAUUGAACCGCAUGGUUCAAUAGUUAAAGACGGUUUUGCUGUCACUUAUAGAUGGAUCCGCGCCGCAUUAGCUAGUUGGUAAGGUAACGGCUUACCAAGGCAACGAUGCGUAGCCGACCUGAGAGGGUGAUCGGCUACACUGGAACUGAGACACGGUCCAGACUCCUACGGGAGGCAGCAGUAGGGAAUCUUCCGCGAUGGGGGAAAGCCUGACGGAGCAACGCCGCGUGAGUGAUGAAGGUCUUCGGAUCGUAAAACUCUGUUAUUAGGGAAGAACAAAUGUGUAAGUAACUAUGCACGUCUUGACGGUUCCUAAUCAGAAAGCCACGGCUAACUACGUG
rnacentral:rRNA from 1 species